UGAGGAAUUUUGCGCAAUGGCCGCAAGGCUGACGCAGCAACGCCGCGUGGGUGAUGAAGGCCUUCGGGUCGUAAAGCCCUGUCAGGUGGGAAGAAAGGUACCUUUUCGAACAGGGGGGGUAUUUGACGGUACCACCAGAGGAAGCACCGGCUAACUCCGUGCCAGCAGCCGCGGUAAUACGGAGGGUGCGAGCGUUAUUCGGAAUUACUGGGCGUAAAGCGCGUGCAGGCGGGAAGGUAAGUCUGAUGUGAAAGCCCCGGGCUUAACCCGGGAAGUGCAUUGGAAACUGCUUUUCUUGAGUACUGGAGAGGAAGGGGGAAUUCCCGGUGUAGAGGUGAAAUUCGUAGAGAUCGGGAGGAAUACCAGUGGCGAAGGCGCCCUUCUGGACGGUUACUGACGCUGAGACGCGAAAGCGUGGGGAGCAAACAGG
rnacentral:rRNA from 1 species